AUUUCAGUUAACAACAUCUUUCUCAACAACAGACAUUUCUUUUCAACCUUAACAAGAUCAAACAUAAACAUCUGUUUAUUUAUCUUUCUCAACAACAGACAUUUCUCUUCAACCUCAAGAAGAGAGUCUGGAUUUGUCUGACUGACUCUGUUAAUGAGGGGACCUGGAAAUGGGUGGACGGCACCCCACUGACCACAGGGUACUGGUAUGCCAAACAGCCUGAUAAUGCAGGUCCUAAUGGGGACGAGGACUGUGCUGAGAUACACAAAAAUCAGAGUCCUCUAAAGGCAUGGAAUGACAUGUCAUGUGGCAGCAAACUCAACUGGGUUUGUGAGAAAGUGUUUUAAAAUCACCAUGGCAACAUGCUGUAACACAUACAGUAGACUACAGUGCACAGAACUUCCUCCUCUGUCUCUGUCUCUCUCUCUCUUUGUCUCAAACUCAUGCACACAAAUGUUGUAUUUGUUUGUAUUAAUAUAUUAAUAAAAGUCCUACUUGUUUCCUGA